AUUUCUGUCGUUCUCGUUUCAGUCUCUACACCAGAGCAAAACCAUGGAAGGCUGUUCCGCGCCGCUGGUGGUCAAGUUUGCCGACACGCAGAAGGAUAAGGACGCCAAGCGGAUGCAGCAGAUGCAGUCGAACCUGUGAACAUUGCGGGCAUCAACCAGCCGAUCACGCAGUCGGUGACGCCUCUGACAGCGCCGGCCACUGGCCACCAUCCGAAUCCGCCGCAGCAGCAGACGCCAUUCCUGGCAGCCGAUGCCAUCUCGCCGGCGUCACUUUCGCUGCUGCAGCAGAUUCAGGCGAUGACCCAGCAGCAGCAGUUUUUGCAAGGACUCGGUGCCCAGACUGAUACAACGACGGCAGCUGCCGCGGCUGGACUGUUGAGCCCGCUGUCGAUGCAGAACCUGGUGACCCUGGCGGCCAUGACGCAACCAUCGCUUCAAGCCGCUGCCGCUCAAACACCCACCGCGGCCAUUACCAACGCAGCGACCUCACUGUGUAAGUAGCUACUUUCCGUGUUUGGCUUUGUUUGUUUGUUUGGACUGUCCUUGGAUGUUUCCCCCAAACCAGGAAUUCCGUUCGUUGUUUGAGACUAACUUCCUUGCUGUGUCUGUUGUCGAGUGCGUCUUAUGCGAGGGAAAUAGUUCGUACGGUAUUUGUACAGCGUUCCACUUCAAAGAAAUCUUCGAUUUUUCGGCAUCUGCUUUCAAAGUUCCUUCUGGUUGUAGAAAAUCUAUUAAGUUCAAAACAUAAAUAAAAGGAGAUACAAAGUCUA